rnacentral:misc_RNA from 1 species
GAUGAAGAACUCAGCGAAAUGCGAUACGUAAUGUGAAUUGCAGAAUUCAGUGAAUCAUCGAAUCUUUGAACGCACAUUGCGCCUGCCAGCACUCUGGCAGGCAUGCCUGUUCGAGCGUCAUUUCAACCAUCAAGCCCUAGGCUUGCGUUGGAGCCCUGCGGCUGCCGCAGGCCCCUAAAAGCAGUGGCGGGCUCGCUAUCACACCGAGUGCAGUAGAUUACUCUUCGCUCAGGGCGUGUGGCGGGUUCCAGCCGUGAAACCCCCUACUUCUCAAGGUUGACCUCGGAUCAGGUAGGAAUACCCGCUGAACUUAAGCAUAUCAAUAAGCGGAGGA